rnacentral:rRNA from 1 species
UACGUAGGGGGCUAGCGUUGUCCGGAAUCAUUGGGCGUAAAGCGCGCGUAGGCGGCCUGGUAAGUCCGCUGUGAAAGUCAAAGGCUCAACCUUUGAAUGUCAGCGGAUACUGCCAGGCUAGAGUCCGGAAGAGGCGAGUGGAAUUCCCGGUGUAGCGGUGAAAUGCGCAGAUAUCGGGAGGAACACCAAUGGCGAAGGCAGCUCGCUGGGACGGUACUGACGCUGAGACGCGAAAGCGUGGGGAGCAAACAGG